GACGAACGCUGGCGGCGUGCUUAACACAUGCAAGUGGAGCGACGAACCAGGGCUUGCCCUGGGGCAAAGCCGCGAACGGGUGAGUAACACGUGGGUAACCUGCCCUGAUGAUUGGGACAACCCGGGGAAACUCGGGCUAAUACCAAAUGUGCUCUCCGGCUCCAAGGCCGGUGAGGAAAGGUAGCUUCGGCUUCCGCAUCAGGAUGGGCCCGCGGCCCAUUAGCUUGUUGGUGGGGUAACGGCCUACCAAGGCUCCGAUGGGUAGCUGGUCUGAGAGGACGAUCAGCCACACUGGGACUGAGACACGGCCCAGACUCCUACGGGUGGCAG
rnacentral:rRNA from 1 species